rnacentral:misc_RNA from 1 species
GAUGAAGAACGUAGCGAAAUGCGAUAAGUAGUGUGAAUUGCAGAAUUCAGUGAAUCAUCGAAUCUUUGAACGCACAUUGCGCCCUUUGGUAUUCCUUAGGGCAUGCCUGUUCGAGCGUCAUUUAAACCUUCAAGCUAAGCUUGGUGUUGGGUGACUGUCCGCUUCACUGCGGACUCGCCUCAAAAUUAUUGGCGGCCGGUACAUUGGCUUCGAGCGCAGCAGAAACGCGAACUCGGGCCCGUCGUAUUGGCUCCCAGAAGCUAUCUUCACAAUUUUGACCUCGGAUCAGGUAGGGAUACCCGCUGAACUUAAGCAUAUCAUAAGCGGAGGA